CAGAGUUGGCACCAAAGGGCCGGAUCCUUGUCCUUCCCGGGUCCCAGGUGUCCCACAGUGUCCUCAGUGUCACACGCUGAGACCCAGGCCCCCAACCCCUGAGCAGAAGUAGGGAGGAGCAUUACCAUUUGGGCCUUCAGCUUCUUCAUGUCAUCAGAGAGGACCUGCGGAAAUAACGGUGACACUCAGUCUCCAUGUGUCACCUUAACCUUUCCCCCAGGAUAAUUUAUACACACACACACACACACACACACACACACACACACACACAUGGCAGAGGUACAGGAUAAGAGGAGACAGCAGUCCCAGGAGCCCCUCACAGCCUGGAAAGACCGGCGCCUGCGUGGGCCGGGGUGUCCUCCCUGCACACACACACCCCCCCAUGUACACACACGGGAGGAUGGACACUGUCCUGGAGCAGGCUGGCUCAGCUGGGUUUCCCACAACCACUAUGGUCCCAGGUGAGAGCUGGCCAAGGAGAAAAUGUUUAGGGACAUGACAAUUGAGAAGGUAACAGCAGCCAUUCCUCUCUGAUGAGCUGAUUAAUAUUCGGGGUGCCAGGUAGGUCCACCCUACAACCUGCCACUCUUCCCGACUGCCAACAUGCAGGCCCACAGGGCCCGGGCCAUUCCUGCCUACAGACACGUGGCUGCAUCCACAGAGGCCAGAGGCACCCCACAGAAUCCCCGCUGAGCCCCCACGUCAAGGGCCUAGUCUCGGGGGUGACAUGCCUGGUUUCCCCCACUAUAGAGUGGUGACAGUCACCCACAGAAUGCGCAGGGCCUGGAGACAUAUUCUGGGCAGGGCAGCUGUCUGCACACUUUCAGGCAGCGAUGGUCCCAUCCCGCUAGCCUGAUUUCCCAGGAACCAGGGUGAAAGCAGCACCGCGCCCACAUGUGGGAGCCAUGUGUCCUCCGGGUCACUGUCCUGAACCUGGGCCAGGCCACAUCAUGGAAACCCCUUUGUCACAGGCCGAAGAGCUCCCUGGAGGGUGUGGUGGGCCUCGCAUUUGCGGUGGGGCAGUGGUAGAGGAUGGGAGGUCGGAGGGAACCCAGGAAAGGAGGAAGAGACACCCGGACCCACACAGGCCCUGCUCUUGGGCCCACCCAGCUGAGCCGGCCUCUGAGAGGAGUAUUCUCUGAGUCGUUUCCAGCAGAGCCCUGCCCCACCCCUGCCCCACCCCUGCCCCAGGCUUUCUGGGCUGUGAAGGGCUCCUGGGACAGGUGCUCCCUCUCAUCCACACCCCUGCCAUUCUCCAGCGCCCCCGACACAUGUGACCUCCAGCGCCUCCACUGACACUCUCACCCCAUCACUAUCCUCCUGCCACUGGGUGCCCCUGACUGAGCCCUGACACACAGGCACCUCGGGAAAUACUG
rnacentral:lncRNA from 1 species